GAGUUUGAUCAUGGCUCAGAGUGAACGCUGGCGGUAGGCCUAACACAUGCAAGUCGAACGGCAGCACAGUAAGAGCUUGCUCUUAUGGGUGGCGAGUGGCGGACGGGUGAGGAAUACAUCGGAAUCUACUUUUCCGUGGGGGAUAACGUAGGGAAACUUACGCUAAUACCGCAUACGACCUACGGGUGAAAGCAGGGGAUCUUCGGACCUUGCGCGAUUGAAUGAGCCGAUGUCGGAUUAGCUAGUUGGCGGGUAAAGGCCCACCAAGGCGACGAUCCGUAGCUGGUCUGAGAGGAUGAUCAGCCACACUGGAACUGAGACACGGUCCAGACUCCUACGGGAGGCAGCAGUGGGGAAUAUUGGACAAUGGGCGCAAGCCUGAUCCAGCCAUACCGCGUGGGUGAAGAAGGCCUCGGUUGUAAG
rnacentral:rRNA from 1 species